GGUUGUAUAGUGUAGUUGGUUAUCACAUCGGAUUCUGAUGAGCCUCGCCGCUUCUAGGUUCCGGUGACCCCGGUUCGAGUCCGGGUACGACCU